AUUGAACGCUGGCGGCAGGCCUAACACAUGCAAGUCGAGCGAGCGGCGGACGGGUGAGUAAUGUCUGGGAAACUGCCUGAUGGAGAGGGAUAAAUAAUGGAAACGGUAGCUAAUACCGCAUACCAUCAGCUUUGCCCAGAUGGGAUUAGCUAGUAGUGGGGGUAACGGCUCACCUAGGCGACGAUACCUCGCUGGUCUGAGAGGCUGAUCAGCCACACUGGAACUGGGACACGGGCCAGACUCCUACGGGAGGCAGCAGUGGGGAAUAUUGCACAAUGGGCGAAAGCCUGAUGCAGCAAUGCCGCGUGUGUGAAGAAGGCCUUCGGUGUGUAAAGCACUUUCAGCGGGGAGGCGGUACCCGCAGAAGAAGCACCGGCUAACUCCGUGCCAGCAGCCGCGGUAAUUC
rnacentral:rRNA from 1 species